CCCUAAACUUAGAUAUUUAAUACACAAAAAUAUCCGCCAGAGAACUACGAGCAAAACGCUUAAAACUCUAAGGACUUGGCGGUACCUCAAACCCCCCUAGAGGAGCCUGUUCUAUAAUCGAUAAUCCACGAUCCACCUCACCAUCUCUUGCCAACCCCGCCUAUAUACCACCGUCACCAGCUUACCCCAUGAGGGGUAUAAAAAGUAGGCAAAAUAACUAAAAACAGUUAACAAGUCAGGUCAAGGUGUAGCUAAUUGAAAUGGAAGAAAUGGGCUACAUUUUCUACACUAGAAAUUAAUUUACGGAAAGGAACUGUGAAACAAGUCCCAUAAGUAGGAUUUAGCAGUAAACUAGGAUUAGAGUGCCUAAUUUAAGCUGGCCCCGAGGUGCGC
rnacentral:rRNA from 1 species